rnacentral:lncRNA from 1 species
UGGGACAGUUAAAACAAACAACAACAAGCCCUUGCCACGCUCCCAGACUACUGCCUCACCAGGAUGGAGCUCUUAUGCAUUAUACAUGUUAAACAUCUCCUAUUCAGUGCUAACUUUGACUUUGUGCCCUGGGCCAGGUGAAAAGACUUUUCCAAAUAAGAAAGAAUAAGAAAAAAAACCAAAAAACAACCCACAAAACAAAGCACAAGAAGUAAACCAUAAAUUGAAAUUUCUAUACGAAGACCUUUCUUCGACUUUUUGGCAAAAUACUGCAUCUUCAGCCAGGAGAAGUUGGCGAAGUACAAAAGGGCUUUUGAAGCGGAGGUUCUGAGUUAUGCUGUCGUCUACCUGGGAGUGCUUAAGUUUCUUCCUCUGCAAGAUGAUGUGGCCAAGCCCAUUAGAUUUGGUGGAGACCCUGAAGAUUUUGUUGAAGGGGCAGAAGAGGACACUUUUUGAAGAUGGAGGAAGCUUUCUUAGGCUAUAGGAAGAGAAGGAGCCUUAGACAGAGAUGUCAGAGGAUGCACAAAAGACCUUUCUACUUGUCUACUAUGAGACACAGUUGAGAUGACAAAAAAAAUGCAGGCAAAGAUUAAGAGUUCCCAAGGCUUUCCCUCAGUUUGAAAAUGGAAGCAGAGAUUAACCAUACCUUGUCAAAGCUGCGCUUCCAAGACACUGGAGUUCUGCUCAUAGAUGAGUGGCUUAUUUUCUGAAAACUUAAUACUCCAUCACCAGAAGGUUCAUCUCAUCAACUCUUGUUACUGAAACAGCAUCUUCCAUGGCCAAGAAUUGAACACUGCAACUUAGUGAACUUCCUCUAUCGUGUCCAGACAAUAUGGAGUGCUUUUCCUGAAUUACAUGUUCAUCAAGAAUCACAACUGCAUUCACCUGACAGUUAGGAUUACAGUAUCAUAUCGGCCAGGCCAUCACUUCUGCAAUCUUCACCAGCAAAGGAGGCAGAUAUUCUGUGGCUUCGUACUGGGGCACCUUGGAACACACUUUCUGUGGUUUGUUUGGCCCUGCUGAACAUGACAAACUGGACAUAAGAAGGCAUUAUAAGUACUGGGUGAAUGCUCAUGUCUUUGCUGCCCAUUGGAACAGUGUUAAAAUAAAGCUCCUUUUGACACGCUUAGGUGUAAACAUCGUUUCCAGGUAGGAAAGUGUUCUGAAGAUUUUUAAGCCAGGUGAUUUUAAAAAUGCUCCCUUUGAAACAAAAGGACCUCAGCAGGGAUUUUGGCUGAUGCAUUUGUGAGGCAAAGGGGAAUAUAUCAGCAUGACUUAGCCUCUGGCUCCCGAGGAUGGUUUCACGCGUGGGAAAUGCGGCUGCGAGAGCACCGGCCAAGGCGCGCUGAUGCGGGCGCUGUCCGUG